rnacentral:misc_RNA from 1 species
GGAGGUAAACGAGAGUUGGUCAGUGAUGUCACAGCGAUGGCCGACCGUACAGAUUGGCAACAUCAACCUCAGAGUCAAACAUCAUCUGUGAUAGAUCUUGAUGAUAUGGAAGUUAUAGACAAUGAUGCUUCCGACUAUGAGAGUGAAUUCAGAGAUUCUAGGAAAUCGGAUGAAGGAAGAUAUUCUAAGAACGAGGAUGAUAAUGAAGACGUUCGUCAGAGAAUGGGCCAACAUGUCACUGAAAUUAUGUGGCAGGCAGGUAAGCAGCAGGCAAAGAAAGCAUGGAACCUUUAUGGCAACAUUGAUAUUUUGCGUCCAUAUUUUGAUGUUCAACCAUAUGAAGUAAGGAACAGGUUAAUAGAAUCUCUUAUUCCUCGGAAGGCAAGUGUUCAAAUACAGAGUAUUCCAAGGGAACUUUAUGGUCCAACAAUGGUCAUUUUUACCCUUAUAGCUCUUCUGCUGUUCCAAAUGAAGUCCUCAGGACAUCAAGUGCAAGAAGGCACUCUAAUGGGCACAUCUUUCUUGGUCUGUUUCUCCUAUUGGUUCGGUGCUUCUAGUGCAAUUUUCCUCUUGUCCUAUCUCUGUAAUAUCCAGGUCACUAUGAUACAAGUUCUCUCUAUGCUGGGCUAUGGAUUGUUUGGCCAUUGUAUUGUUGUAUUUGCGAGCACUGUAACACACACGUCCCACAGUCACAUCCUGUUUUAUAUGUUAUGGGCCCUAGUUGGUGGUCUCUCAACUGCACGAAUGGCCUUUGUGGUACUCUCCAGAACAUCAGGACACUCUCAACGAAUAAUUGUCUGUUCAGCUAUUGCUGUUCUUCACCUUACUUUCCUUUUGUACUUACAUUUUGCAUACCAUCAGACAGUUGAAGAAUUCUCAGAAGUGUUUGACAAAGAAAUAUCGAAACCUAUUGCAGAAGAUGCCCUCCGUCCGAAAUUUGUCCGGGACUUAGGAAUAGAACAGCACAGCAUCAAACAUAUAAACCAGUCACCUAAACAAUACAUAAAAUCUGCUGCCAUUGAUAAAAUAGAUAGUGUUGUUCAGACACCAGUUCUGAAUAUUCCACAGAAUGUUCUUAACGUUCUCAAUACAACAGUACCUGUAAUACAAGCGGCGGGUAAAUCGCUCUUGAAAGCAGCUAUCGCCAGUAAGACAAACAACAGCGUGGCCAUGUAGUGUUUACUGCUACUACUACUUCUACUACAAAUGCAAGCAAACAGCAAGGUCAGCAAACUCUGAAUAUUCUUCCCAAGGCCUAACUAUUUGGCUGAAAAGUUUAAUUCCCUAGGGAUUUUAUUCAAAGCAAAUAAACAGUGCAUGUUGCGGGCAGGAUUGGGUGUUUGAGAGUUCUUUUAAGGGGGGAUUCAUUGGAAUUGAAUUGAAUUGAAUUGAAAUGAAAGAAAGAAAGAAAUCCUGAAACAAUCAUAUAUCUGGAACUAUCAGGAACUGUAAUGCUGGCUUGGCUUUGUAAUUCUGUAGACUAACAGCCACUGAUGAACAACUCCAGUCUUUGUUUAUCGAAGUUUGGAAGAGAAAAAUGUUCAAAUAUUAUAUAACUUAAAAAGAGAGAGAGAAAAAACUCAAUAAUAAAAAAACAACAUAUAUAUAUAUAUUUAACGACACUGCUAAACAAGUCCUUUGUCUCUCAUUUGUCAUAAAUAAAUUUCCUUUUUUUUUUCCACCCCUCUUUCUCUCUUGAUAAUACUGGAAGCAUGAAUCUGUGAGUAAGUUAAAAGAAUCAUCAUUCUUGUAUAAUAUUUAAUAUUUGGUAGAAAAAGGAAAUUACACUUCUCUGCAGAGCAUCUUCAGGGUAAUUGGGUUAUAUUUAAUUUUUUUUUUUCUAUGUUAUUGUCUUUUUCUUUUCUGUUAACAUUUAUUUUAAUACAUGCGAUAGCAAAUUUAAUCAUUUACUAAUCUAAAUGCCAUUUCGGCAGAGCAAAACAGAAUGAAUUUCUGUGUUUAAUCUUUACUGCGGAUUAGUUUCACAAGGAAA